GCUCCUCUAGUGCAAUGGUUGCAUGCAUUCUUCCGGUGGCUGUGAUCCGGGUUCGAGUCCCGGGAGGAGCU
rnacentral:tRNA from 1 species